rnacentral:rRNA from 1 species
GAUGAACGCUGGCGGCGUGCCUAAUACAUGCAAGUCGAGCGAACGGACGAGAAGCUUGCUUCUCUGAUGUUAGCGGCGGACGGGUGAGUAACACGUGGAUAACCUACCUAUAAGACUGGGAUAACUUCGGGAAACCGGAGCUAAUACCGGAUAAUAUUUUGAACCGCAUGGUUCAAAAGUGAAAGACGGUCUUGCUGUCACUUAUAGAUGGAUCCGCGCUGCAUUAGCUAGUUGGUAAGGUAACGGCUUACCAAGGCAACGAUGCAUAGCAGACCUGAGAGGGUGAUCGGCCACACUGGAACUGAGACACGGUCCAGACUCCUACGGGAGGCAGCAGUAGGGAAUCUUCCGCAAUGGGCGAAAGCCUGACGGAGCAACGCCGCGUGAGUGAUGAAGGCCUUCGGAUCGUAAAACUCUGUUAUUAGGGAAGAACAUAUGUGUAAGUAACUGUGCACAUCUUGACGGUACCUAAUCAGAAAGCCACGGCUAACUACGUG